CAUCGCCUCUUGCAUCCCGAAGUAUAAGAGGUCCCACCUGCCCUGUGACUCUAAGUUUAACGGCCGCGGUAUUCUAACCGUGCGAAGGUAGCGCAAUCAAUUGCCUUUUAAAUGAAGGCCUGUAUGAAUGGUAUAACGAGGGUCUGACUGUCUCUUUUUUCUAGUCAGUUAAACUGAUCUGUCCGUGCAGAAGCGGACAUUAUUAUACAAGACGAGAAGACCCUAUGGAGCUUUAGACACUAGCCAACUGUGAAUGAGCGACUGAACUAUACAAGUCUUAAAUACCCACAGCCUCUGGUAAUGUAGUCUUAGGUUGGGGCGACCACGGGAGAAAAUAAAGCUCCCAAGCAGACCGGGAAAACCCUUAAGCCCAGAGUUGCAACUCUAAGCCGCAAAAAUUUUGACUGAAAUGAUCCGGUUGAAAAACCGAUUAACGAACCAAGUUACCCUAGGGAUAACAGCGCAAUCCUCUCCCAGAGUCCCUAUCGACGAGGGGGUUUACGACCUCGAUGUUGGAUCAGGACAUCCUAAUGGUGCAGCCGCUAUUAAGGGUUCGUUUGUUCAACGAUUAAAGUCCUACGUGA
rnacentral:rRNA from 1 species